rnacentral:tRNA from 1 species
AUUUAUAUAGUUUAAUAAAAAACAUUAUAUUUUCAAUAUAAAAAUUAAUUAUAAUUUAUAUAAAUU